UGAGGCGUCUUCUAAAGGUAGGAAACCUGACUUUGAUUCAGGGUAAUGUACGUUCGAGUCGUACCGCCUCAACCA
rnacentral:tRNA from 1 species